GUGGGGAAUUUUGGACAAUGGGCGCAAGCCUGAUCCAGCAAUGCCGCGUGCAGGAAGAAGGCUUUCGGGUUGUAAACUUCUUUUACCAGGGACGAAACAAAUGACGGUACCUGGUGGAUAAGCCACGGCUAACUACGUGCCAGCAGCCGCGGUAAUACGUAGGUGGCGAGCGUUAUCCGGAUUUAUUGGGUGUAAAGGGCGUGUAGGCGGGACAGCAAGUCAGAUGUGAAAACCAGAGGCUCAACCUCUGGCCUGCAUUUGAAACUGUUGUUCUUGAGUGUCGGAGAGGUAAUCGGAAUUCCGUGUGUAGCGGUGAAAUGCGUAGAUAUACGGAGGAACACCAGUGGCGAAGGCGGAUUACUGGACGAUAACUGACGCUGAGGCGCGAAAGCGUGGGGAGCAAACAGGAUUAGAAACCCUGGUAGUCC
rnacentral:rRNA from 1 species